GAGCGGAUGAGAAGAGCUUGCUCUUCGAUUGAGCGGCGGACGGGUGAGUAAUGCCUAGGAAUCUGCCUGGUAGUGGGGGACAACGUUUCGAAAGGAUCGCUAAUACCGCAUACGUCCUACGGGAGAAAGUCAGGGGACCUUCGGGCCUUGCGCUAUCAGAUGAGCCUAGAUCGGAUUAGCUAGUUGGUGGGGUAAUGGCUCACCUAGGCGACGAUCCGUAUCUGGUCUGAGAGGAUGAUCAGCCACACUGGAACUGAGACACGGUCCAGACUCAUACGGGAGGCAGCAGUGGGGAAUAUUGCACAAUGGGCGCAAGCCUGAUCCAGCCAUGCCGCGUGUAUGAAGAAGGCCUUCGGCUUGUAAAGCACCUUUAUGUGGGGAGGAAGGUCUUCUAGUCUAAUACUCUUCACUUUUGACGUUACUUACAGAAUAAGCACCGGCUAACUCUGUG
rnacentral:rRNA from 1 species